AUGGCGCCGCUGUACACGGCGGCGGCGCUGGGCUACGCGUCGGUGCGGUGGCUCAAGGCCUUCUCCGAGGAGCAGUGCGCGGGGAUCAACCGCUUCGUGGCCACCUACGCCCUGCCGGCGCUCAUCUUCGACAUGGUCUCCACCAACGACCCCUAG
rnacentral:rRNA from 1 species